AAUCCUGAAUUAGCGUGACCUUAGUGGAGAACUACUAACAUAGCAUUAGGGACUUUCUGCCAUUAAAGAGGUAUCAUUCGCAUAUCCCCUUCAUGGACCACUGCCCUGUCAUGAAGAAGGGGCUUGUGUAACUCAAUGAAGCCAUGAGCCAUGUCAUGUAGAGCCACCCAAGACGGAUGGGUCACAGCAGAGAGUUCUGACAAAACAUGAUCCACUGGAGAAGGCAAUGGCAAAUCACCCCAAGACUACUUGUGGUGAGAACCUCAUGGACUGUAUAAAAAGACAAAAAGGGAAGUUAUAAGAUCUCCAUUUGCAUCUGUCAGCAUGGUUAUGUAUGUCUAGCAUCACCUGAGAUCUACAUUUUUUACAUUGGAAAAGACCCUGCUUCUGGGAAAGAUAGAGGGAAGGAGGAGAAGGGGACAACAGAGGAUGAGAUGGCUGGAUGGCAUCACCGACUCAAUGGACAUGAGUAUGAGCAAGCUCUGGGAGACAGUGAAGGACAGAGAAGUCUGGUGUGGUGCAGUCUGUGGGGCUGCAACGAGUCAGACACAACUUAGUGACUAAACACCACCACCACAUUCCUUUGAUGCCAAGGCUGUGCAUUCACUUUACAUUCCACCACUGAAAUUCAUUUCCAUGAAGUUUUAAAAAUGCACAGACAACAGAUGCCAUAUUCUUCUUCUGUAGACCUGGUGAGCAAAGGCUCAUAGUGGCAGAUACGAGGUUGCCCUCCCUGGUUUAUUCACUUCAGAAGCCAUUAGCACUGCUUUCCCACAGUUUCCUUAUCAAGCCACCACAGUGUCUUUCUGAUUCUGGACCAGAACUCUAGUGAUAACCUGAAAACCAGCCUCAGCCUCUGAUACCUUCUGCAGCCUUUCUGCCUUUUUUUAACACCAAGUUCCCUGUAUAAAUCACUUUCCACUUCAAGUGUCCAAAGUGGUUUUUUGUACUACUAAAUAACAUGCUCUCAAUCUCAUGAGUCAGAUAAUGAACAAAGGCACAUAUGUGUUUCAUCCUCCAAACUACAUUUUUAAUGGGAAAAAUGCAACUGUUCAAAUAAGCUAGGCUGUUUGGGUCAAGAUGAGCAGCACUUGUUAUCAGUCUUUGAUACAUUCUUAAAGGAACAUUUAAGAGUUUCAUCUACAGAACUUUCAUCUACAGAAACCUACUUCACUCCAUAUUUAAAUUCUUGUUAUUAUACUGCAGUAUACUGAAUACUGAAUGAGUAUACCUCUAUAACAAUGUGUAAAAG
ensembl:lncRNA